GACGAACGCUGGCAGCGUGCUUAACACAUGCAAGUCGAACGGAAAGGCCCUGCUUUUGUGGGGUGCUCGAGUGGCGAACGGGUGAGUAACACGUGAGUAACCUGCCCUUGACUUUGGGAUAACUUCAGGAAACUGGGGCUAAUACCGGAUAGGAGCUCCUGCUGCAUGGUGGGGGUUGGAAAGUUUCGGCGGUUGGGGAUGGACUCGCGGCUUAUCAGCUUGUUGGUGGGGUAGUGGCUUACCAAGGCUUUGACGGGUAGCCGGCCUGAGAGGGUGACCGGCCACAUUGGGACUGAGAGACGGCCCAGACUCCUACGGGAGGCAGCAGUGGGGAAUAUUGCACAAUGGGCGGAAGCCUGAUGCAGCAACGCCGCGUGCGGGAUGACGGCCUUCGGGUUGUAAACCGCUUUCGCCUGUGACGAAGCGUGAGUGACGGUAAUGGGUAAAGAAGCACCGGCUAACUACGUG
rnacentral:rRNA from 1 species